rnacentral:tRNA from 1 species
GCCGGGGUAGCCUAGCGGUAAGGCGCAGGCCUCGAGAGCCUGUGCCCGUUUUACGGGCACGUGGGUUCAAAUCCCACCCCCGGCGCCA